CUGUCUAUAUCUCUGCUCCACCUUUUCAUUUUUCAACCAACAAAGUAACGUGAGUCUUAUGAACAUAAGUGUACGGUCUACAUAAAUAUAAUCUAUAAAAGUUGUUAGUCUUUACUAAGAGAGGGACAAAAAAAAAAAGAUUUCAUCAAUCUUGUAAGUUGUCAAUUUGAGAAAUCGGAAGAGCAAAAAAAAAAAAGGAUAGCUUAAUAUACAUAUAAAAUGAAUUGUGAAAAUGACUGAAAAUCUUAGGGACAGAACUUUUAAGUCCACUUCAUGUGUGAUAUAAGAGAGCACUCAGUAUAUGUAGGCUUAUUGUAUAUAAUACGUAUUGUUGUUACCUCAUGAAGCAUGUUACUAAGUUUUGCUUUCUUCAUCUGUAUUUCUUGUCUCUCUGCCGUGCCUAGCUCCACCGGACGUUUCCCGGCUGCUUCUGCUCCGCCACCGGAACCUUCUCCUCCAGCGCCGGCCGAUGAUUCUCCGACAGGUUUAUCAUUUCCGCAACUACCCUUUUUCGAUGAGAAUAGUUGGGAUUUAGCGUUCAUGUCAUCGGAAUCAGCGUUGACUACUUCGUCAAGAAGCUCUUGUGCUGCCUUCAAGUACUUGGAGCUAACAAGAUUAGCUAUACCGUUUGUUACCCCCGAUCCUGUAGAGCCAGACCCGACCCGGAUAUCUUCUCCAUGUCCGGACCCGAAUCCGACGUGAAUAGGCUGGUGUUGUUGAUGAUGUUGCUGUUGCUGCUGCUGUUGAGACGAGAGGGUUAAAGAGAGGCCUUGCUGCGCGCGUGGCGUCUCACACGCGGCUUGCUGGUGAGUGGGAUCCACUUGGUGGCUACCGUAGAGACUGUACUGCACGCGCGGAGGAUAACCGUGAAGUACGGAGAUGUUGUCGGCGGCUGUAAUGGAAGCAGCUUCGUGACCUGAGAGUGGUAUUCCGACGAACUGCUGGCUCGCGUUUGGCUGCGGCGCGUGGGAAUCGAGGAAAACGAAACUACUGUUGUUGUUGUUUGUGUUUGUGUUUGUGUUGUUGUUGUUGCUAUUGUUGCUGUUGUUGUUGUUGUUCGAGUCGUUGUCUUGUUGGGUGUACUGAACGUAAGUAGUUGGAUUCAUGAGGAUCAACGUUUGAAGACCACCGUCGGAUCCGGCAGAGAUCUCCGGUGGGUUUCCGUGAAAGUAAGCAGCCAUCUAUGUAUAAUUAGUAGUUGUUACACACGAAUGAAACGACGUCGUUUUCUUUGAUUCUCUUUCAA